GUGCACCAGGCGCGAAAACUUUACAAUGUGCGAAAGCACGAUAAGGGAACUCUGAGUGCCUCCUAAGGAGGCUGUUCUGAUGUCUAAAAAGCAACAGAAGUAAGGGCUGGGUAAGACCGGUGCCAGCCGCCGCGGUAACACCGGCAGCCCAAGUGGUAGCCACGUUUAUUGGGUCUAAAGCGUUCGUAGCCGGCCAGGUAAGUUCCUUGGUAAAUUUAGCCGCUUAACGGUUAAGCUUUCAGGGAAUACUGCUUGGCUUGGGACUGGGAGAGGUCAGAGGUACUCCGGGGGUAGGGGUGAAAUCUAUUAAUCCCUGGGGGACCACCGGUAGCGAAGGCGUCUGACCAGACCAGGUCCGACGGUGAGGGACGAAGGCUA
rnacentral:rRNA from 1 species